UACGGGGGGAGCAAGCGUUGUUCGGAUUUACUGGGCGUAAAGGGCGCGUAGGCGGCCUCUGCAAGUCGACUGUGAAAUCUCCGGGCUUAACCCGGAACGGUCAGCCGAUACUGCAGGGCUAGAGUGCAGAAGGGGCAACUGGAAUUCUCGGUGUAGCGGUGAAAUGCGUAGAUAUCGAGAGGAACACCUGCGGCGAAGGCGGGUUGCUGGGCUGACACUGACGCUGAAGUGCGAAAGCCAGGGGAGCAAACGGG
rnacentral:rRNA from 1 species